AUGCAAAAAGAAACACUUCUGUGUGAAGUGCUGUCACACCAGCAGAGCAUUUCUGAGUGCCCCAGGCCCUGCCAGCAGAAACUGUACCACAGGAACACUGCAAAUCAGACCACUGAAAGACACUGCAAAUGAAAGACCACUGCUAGUUGUGAAAGGAGCUUCUAGAAGAAGAGUCAGGAAAGUGGAUCCUGCUAUAGCCACUCGCUCUGUCAGAUAAAAUGGCAACUUCUAUGAAAUACCAUUGCCCCUCAGGCAAUAUCCCAUGGCCAUGACAUCCACAACUGAGGAAAAUAUUAAUCCUAAUAUGGACCCUGGUGCCCAGCCUGACACUAUGUAAAGUGUCCCAGUUAAAGAAUGAAAGCAGCCAGCCAAGCUGUCCUCUCAGUGGUGAGAAGCAGCUAACUCCUCUGAGCAUCUGUGGAAGACAUUCAGACUCUGCCAAAAUAAACCACCUCCCUGUUUCUGUAUCCAGUAUAUUUGGGGCUUGCUCUGUAGAUUUUUAUCGUCCUGGUGAUCUUCUACAUAAUAACAAAGCCUUUAUAUAUGAAUGAUCCAUUCCUUCACCUCUUAGUCAUUGGAAGACAAAUGCAUUAACUAGGAUGGACUUGGGUUACUCUUUGUUUGCUGACUCCAGUGCUUUGUUCCCAAGAAAAAAAUUUAUGACAAGUAGAUGCAGCCAGAGCCUUUGCCUUCCAAAAAUCCCUCACUUUCCCUAACCAAGAAAAAAAGAAGGUAACAGC